CGUCAAGUCAUCAUGCCCCUUAUGUCCAGGGCUGCACACGUGCUACAAUGGCCGGUACAGCGAGCUGCGAACCCGUGAGGGUAAGCGAAUCUCUUAAAGCCGGCCCCAGUUCGGAUUGAAGGCUGCAAUUCGCCUUCAUGAAGUAGGAGUUGCUAGUAAUCGCGGAUCAGCAUGCCGCGGUGAAUACGUUCCCGGGCCUU
rnacentral:rRNA from 1 species